rnacentral:rRNA from 1 species
AUUGAACGCUGGCGGCAGGCCUAACACAUGCAAGUCGAGCGGAUGAAGGGAGCUUGCUCCUGGAUUCAGCGGCGGACGGGUGAGUAAUGCCUAGGAAUCUGCCUGGUAGUGGGGGAUAACGUCCGGAAACGGGCGCUAAUACCGCAUACGUCCUGAGGGAGAAAGUGGGGGAUCUUCGGACCUCACGCUAUCAGAUGAGCCUAGGUCGGAUUAGCUAGUUGGUGGGGUAAAGGCCUACCAAGGCGACGAUCCGUAACUGGUCUGAGAGGAUGAUCAGUCACACUGGAACUGAGACACGGUCCAGACUCCUACGGGAGGCAGCAGUGGGGAAUAUUGGACAAUGGGCGAAAGCCUGCUCCAGCCAUGCCGCGUGUGUGAAGAAGGUCUUCGGAUUGUAAAGCACUUUAAGUUGGGAGGAAGGGCAGUAAGUUAAUACCUUGCUGUUUUGACGUUACCAACAGAAUAAGCACCGGCUAACUUCGUG